GGGGGAGCCCCGGGCCCCAGGACCAGCAUCGCCUCCCGCCUGGGCCUCGGGGACCUGUCCCUCUAGGGGGCAGCAGGGCUCCACCGAGCGUCUCUGCCUCGGGAAGCACUCCUCGUGUUAUUAACAGAACGUGCCCCAGUGUCCGCAUCAGGGAAAUUUCUUCACAGACUUGGCCUUGGCUGGGCCCAGAGGAUGUCUCUUUUCACCUUCGGACGUUUGAGGGGGAAGUGCUCAUUAGGAAGAAAAGUAUUUAAUGUCACAGUAACACGUGAACGGUUCCGAAACACAGAAGCCAACAGCUGUACCCACUUAGGGAGCACGUUGGGGUUCCAGCUGGCAGGAGUUCACCCCCCUCCAGCCUGGCCUGGGAAGGAAGCUGGAUUUCUAAGACUUGUAAUAUUCACGGGGAGAAGACGUGCGUUUCCGCACUAGCGUUCGUGGCCAGGUUUGGGUUUUUAGACCCUCCAAACAAACCUCCUUGAGCGGGUCUUCCCCACCCACCUUAGGGGCACCUCGUCCUCUUCCUCUCUUGCUGGGGGAACCAGGACAGCCCCCGGCUGUGUUUUGAUGUAACCCUGUGACAGUGUUGAUCUGAGGCUCAUGGGCAGCACCCCCUCAUGCUGUGGCCUCGUGGUCCCAUCUGGGGGCAGGGGUUACAGGUACCUGUGUGGGGCACACAGACCUGGUUCAGGUCCUAACUCUGCCACUUCACGCCGUGUGGUCAUCAGAGGGGGCCCACCUGGAGCCUCACAUCUGGCCUGAAAAACAAGGAGAGCCCUGGCCCACGGUGUAACUGUGAUCCGGGCUUCGUUUGGUUCCAGGCACACCCUAACACUCACAGUCACUCAGCCAGCCACCCUACCAGCGCCCACCCACCUGCCCAUCCAGCCCCCUGGCCUGACCAGCCGCUUCCCUCUUCCGUGGCUCUCGUCACUCAUCUCCAUCCCUUCUGUGUCUACGGUUCACAGUCUGUCUCCUGCCAGAAUGUGAGCUCUCCCCUGCUGUGUCCAGAACACAUCCUCAGCAUCAGUAAAUACUGUUGAGUACACGUGUGAAUGAGUAGGAGCUCUCACCCAGCUACCCAGCCUCCCGGGAUGUGCAGUGAGGACGGAGCUACUGAGCAAAGUCUCCAGGUGCUCUGGAUGGACCCUGUGAGCAGACCCGAGUAGAAGCACCUGGCCCAGGCACUCACCAGAUUCUGGUUCAACAGAACCAGGGGCCACAAGGCAUGUGGGAUCUGAGCUUCCUGACCAGGGAUUGAACCCACACCCUCUGCAUUGGAAGGCGAAGUCCCAACCACUGGACCACCAGGGAAGUCCCUGUUUUGAAAUUUAAAAACACAAGGUCUAGGGCGAGUGUCCCCAGCCUCCGUGCCAAGGACCGUACUGCCCGUCAGAUCAGCAGCGGCAUUAGGUUAGAAAUAAAGUGAACACUUGAAUCAUCCUGAAACCAUCCCUCCAAAUCCCAUUUUUCUGUGGAAAAAUGGUCUUCCAUGAAAUUGGUCUCUGGUGCCAAAAAGGUUGUUGUUCAGUCACUGAGUCACGUCCAACUCUUUUGCAACCCCAUAGACUGCAGCACGCCAGGCUUCUCUGUCCUUCACUGACUCCUGACUGCUCAAACUCGUGUCCAUUGAGGCGGUGAUGCCAUCCAACCAUCUCAUCCUCUGUCAUCCCUUUAUCCAGCCCUCAGUCUAUCCCAGCCUCAGAGUCUUUUCUAAUGAGUUGACCAAAAAGGUUGGGGGCCACUGAUGUAGGGGAUAGACUGGGCUUGGAUCCUGACUCCCUUCCAACAGGAGUAUGACCUCAGGCUGGUUACUUGACCUCUCUGUAAUGGUUCAUUGGUUGUAGCUGUGUAACAGAUUACCUCAAAACUUAGCAGCUGAAAAGAACAC
ensembl:lncRNA